UACGAAGGGAGCUAGCGUUGUUCGGAAUCACUGGGCGUAAAGCGCACGUAGGCGGGCUUGUCAGUCAGGGGUGAAAUCCUGGGGCUCAACCUCGGAACUGCUUCUGAUACAGCAAGUCUUGAGUCCGGAAGAGGUGGGUGGAAUUCCUAGUGUAGAGGUGAAAGUCGUAGAUAUUAGGAAGAACACCGGUGGCGAAGGCGGCCCACUGGUCCGGUACUGACGCUGAGGUGCGAAAGCGUGGGGAGCAAACAGG
rnacentral:rRNA from 1 species